UAGUACGAGAGGACCGGGAUGGACAUACCUCUGGUGUACCAGUUGUCGUGCCAACGGCAUAGUUGGGUAGCUAUGUGUGGACGGGAUAAGUGCUGAAAGCAUCUAAGCAUGAAGCCCCCCUCAAGAUGAGAUUUCCCAACUUCGGUUAUAAGAUCCCUCAAAGAUGAUGAGGUUAAUAGGUUCGAGGUGGAAGCAUGGUGACAUGUGGAGCUGACGAAUACUAAUCGAUCGAAGACUUAAUCAAAA
rnacentral:rRNA from 1 species